rnacentral:rRNA from 1 species
GGAUUAGAUACCUGGUAGUCCACACCGUAAACGCUGUCUACUAGCUGUCUGUGUGUUUAACACUGGGUAGCGUAGCUAACGCGCUAAGUAGACCGCCUGGGGAGUACGGCCGCAAGGUUAAAACUCAAAUGAAUUGACGGGGGCCCGCACAAGCGGUGGAGCAUGUGGUUUAAUUCGAUGCAACGCGAAGAACCUUACCAGGACUUGACAUCCUACUGAGUUACCAGAGAUGGUUUCGUGCCUUCGGGAAAGUAGUGACAGGUGCUGCAUGGCUGUCGUCAGCUCGUGCUG